GAGAUGAUAAUGAAUAGUGAAAAAUGCCAAGCAGACAAUAAGCAGAAGGAACAGAGGAAAUCCACAAACUGGAUAAUUGUUUCUUGAGUAACUGACCAUCAAUCUAGAUAGUGGUUGCAGUAAUUUCAAAUUCUUCUCUUCCUUUUCACUUCAGGUGAAUGAAACCUGUUUUCACCGAGAAUGAGCUUCUGUCUUGAUAGCUUUCAUUUGGUCUCUUUUCGAAUCAGAAGACCCAGAAAACUUGGAUCCACUUCUGGCUCUCAUCCCUCUGGGCAGUGUGAUUUGGAUUGAGCAGAUGCUCCGGCUGCCACUCCAUCAUAUAUUGGAAACAGCAUUACUUUAUAGUAAAUCAUGACCACGGUGUAUGGCAAUGAAGUUGCAUCUGAAGCAGCCGGCACCCUAUGUGCUAGCUGGCUUUUAGACCAGGAGACUGUGAAUCUGUGGUCAGGAUCUCUUUAGGGCUGCUAAAUAUAUACUACCCACUAUCACUCGCUGGAGCUGCAGACCCUAGUUUUAGAGUUUCACUUCUUAAAGACCUUCAUCCUUAUUAAAAUGGUAAUAUCCUUACUGUC
rnacentral:lncRNA from 1 species